rnacentral:lncRNA from 1 species
GCUUCCUGAGAAAAGGAACAGGAGGAUGAGAGGUUCAAUGUUUUACACAUUGCUGGUCUGAUAUCUCAGCUUCAUUCACAGAGGACAUAGAAAGACAUAAAAUGAACAUUCCUCUUUGGAUAUAUCUCCUAAAGGAAAGGUGGCAAAUGUCAUGCAGCAAGCAGUUGAAUUAAAUCCCAAAGGCAAAGUAGGAGUACAUGUUCAGUUUCCUGCUGGGCCCUGCUGACACCACACUAGCAAAAGUG